rnacentral:rRNA from 1 species
AUUGAACGCUGGCGGCAGGCCUAACACAUGCAAGUCGAACGAGUGGCGGACGGUUGCGUAAUGUCUGGGAACCUGCCUGAUGGAGGGUGAUAACUACUGGAAACGGUAGCUAAUCCCGCAUACCAUCGGAUUUGCCCAGAUGGGAUUGGCUAGUAGGUGGGGUAAAGGCUAACCUAGGCGACGAUCCCUAGCUGGUCUGAGAGGAUGACCAGCCAAACUGGAACUGAGACACGGUCCAGACUCCGACGGGAGGCAGCAGUGGGGAAGAUUGCACAAUGGGCGCAAGCCUGAUGCAGCCAUGCCGCGUGUAUGAAGAAGGCCUUCGGGUUGUAAAGUACUUUCAGCGGGGAGGCGUUACCCGCAGAAGAAGCACCGGCUAACUCCGUGCCAGCAGCCGCGGUAAUAC